AUUGAACGCUGGCGGCAUGCCUUACACAUGCAAGUCGAACGGUAACAGGUCUUCGGCUGCUGCCGAGUGGCGAACGGGUGAGUAAUGCAUCGGAACGUGCCCGAUCGUGGGGGAUAACGAAGCGAAAGCUUUGCUAAUACCGCAUACGAUCUACGGAUGAAAGCAGGGGACCGCAAGGCCUUGCGCGAACGGAGCGGCCGAUGGCAGAUUAGGUAGUUGGUGGGAUAAAAGCUUACCAAGCCGACGAUCUGUAGCUGGUCUGAGAGGACGACCAGCCACACUGGGACUGGGACACGGCCCAGACUCCUACGGGAGGCAGCAGUGGGGAAUUUUGGACAAUGGGCGAAAGCCUGAUCCAGCCAUGCCGCGUGCAGGAUGAAGGCCUUCGGGUUGUAAACUGCUUUUGUACGGAACGAAAAGACUCUGGUUAAUACCUGGGGUCCAUGACGGUACCGGAAGAAUAAGCACCGGCUAACUACGUG
rnacentral:rRNA from 1 species